rnacentral:lncRNA from 1 species
UCUCCGAGUACCAGAAACUACCUUUUGGUAUAUUAGAAAUUACUCAAACAUGUCAAAAACACGAUGAAAAAUACCAAAUAUUUUGUAAGAAGCAUGAUUUUCCAUGUUGUAGAUGAUGCGUUACUGAAACCCAUAACGAUUGAAAAUAGAUAGAUGUAAUAGAUGACGUCAUUAAGAAUGUAAAAUCAUCAAAUGCUCUUUUAGAGAUGGAACAGAUGUUGGCAGAACUUUCAGGAAAUUUGCAAAGAAUAAGAAAAGAUCGACAAGGAAA